GAAUUCGCCCUUAGAGAUCCCUUCUGGCUCAGGAUGAACGCUGGCGGCGUGCUUAACACAUGCAAGUCGAACGGGCGCACAGAGGGAAACAGUAUUCGUACUGAAUCCGCUGUGAGCUAGUGGCGGACGGGUGAGUAACACGUGAGUAAUCUGCCUCAAGCAGUGGAAUAACAACGGGAAACCGUUGCUAAUACCGCAUAGAGUCACUUCUCGGCAUCGAGAGGAGAUAAAAGGGAGUAAUCCCGGCCUGAGAUGAGCUCGCGUCCGAUUAGGUAGUUGGUGAGGUAACGGCUCACCAAGCCCGCGAUCGGUAGCCGGACUGAGAGGUUGAUCGGCCACAUUGGGACUGAGACACGGCCCAGACUCCUACGGGAGGCAGCAGUGGGGAAUAUUGGGCAAUGGGGGAAACCCUGACCCAGCGACGCCGCGUGAAGGAUGAAGGCCUUCGGGUUGUAAACUUUUUUGGAUGGGGACGAAGAAAUGACGGUACCCAUCGAACAAGCCACGGCUAACUACGUGCCAGCAGCCGCGGUAAUACGUAGGUGGCGAGCGUUAUCCGGAAUUACUGGGUGUAAAGGGCGUGUAGGCGGAUGAACAAGUCUGAUGUGAAAUCUUGCGGCUUAACUGCAAGCUGUCAUUAGAAACUGUAUAUCUUGAGUGUCAGAGGGGAAAGUGGAAUUCCUAGUGGAGCGGUAAAAUGCGUAGAUAUUAGGAGGAACACCGGUGGCGAAGGCGACUUUCUGGCUGACAACUGACGCUGAGGCGCGAAAGCGUGGGGAGCAAACAGAAGUAGAUACCCUGGUAGUCCACGCCGUAAAC
rnacentral:rRNA from 1 species